rnacentral:rRNA from 1 species
GAUGAACGCUGGCGGCGUGCCUAAUACAUGCAAGUCGAGCGAAUGGAUUAAGAGCUUGCUCUUAUGAAGUUAGCGGCGGACGGGUGAGUAACACGUGGGUAACCUGCCCAUAAGACUGGGAUAACUCCGGGAAACCGGGGCUAAUACCGGAUAACAUUUUGAACCGCAUGGUUCGAAAUUGAAAGGCGGCUUCGGCUGUCACUUAUGGAUGGACCCGCGUCGCAUUAGCUAGUGGGUGAGGUAACGGCUCACCAAGGCAACGAUGCGUAGCCGACCUGGAAGGGGGAUCGGCCACACUGGGACUGAGACACGGCCCAGACUCCUACGGGAGGCAGCAGUAGGGAAUCUUCCGCAAUGGACGAAAGUCUGACGGAGCAACGCCGCGUGAGUGAUGAAGGCUUUCGGGUCGUAAAACUCUGUUGUUAGGGAAGAACAAGUGCUAGUUGAAUAAGCUGGCACCUUGACGGUACCUAACCAGAAAGCCACGGCUAACUACGUGCCAGCCGCCGCGGUAA